rnacentral:rRNA from 1 species
UGGGGAAUAUUGCACAAUGGGGGAAACCCUGAUGCAGCGACGCCGCGUGAGCGAAGAAGGCCUUCGGGUCGUAAAGCUCUUUUAUGAGGGAAGAUAAUGACGGUACCUCAAGAAAAAGCCCCAGCUAACUACGUGCCAGCAGCCGCGGUAAUACGUAGGGGGCUAGCGUUGUCCGGAAUCACUGGGCGUAAAGGGUUCGCAGGCGGAAUAACAAGUCAGAUGUGAAAGGCAUGGGCUCAACCCAUGUAAGCAUUUGAAACUGUAAUUCUUGAGAAGUGGAGAGGUAAGUGGAAUUCCUAGUGUAGCGGUGAAAUGCGUAGAUAUUAGGAGGAAUACCUGUGGCGAAGGCGACUUACUGGACACAAAUCUGACGCUGAGGAACGAAAGCGUGGGUAGCAAACAGG